AUUGAACGCUGGCGGUAUGCUUAACACAUGCAAGUCGAACGGUAACAGGCCUUCGGGCGCUGACGAGUGGCGGACGGGUGAGUAACGCGUAGGAAUCUGCCUCAUAGUGGGGGACAACGUGGGGAAACUCACGCUAAUACCGCAUACGCCCUCCGGGGGAAAGCGGGGGAUCUUUGGACCCCGCGCUAUGAGAUGAGCCUGCGUUAGAUUAGCUAGUUGGUAGGGUAAAGGCCUACCAAGGCGACGAUCUAUAGCUGGUCUGAGAGGACGAUCAGCCACACUGGGACUGAGACACGGCCCAGACUCCUACGGGAGGCAGCAGUGGGGAAUAUUGGACAAUGGGCGCAAGCCUGAUCCAGCAAUACCGCGUGUGUGAAGAAGGCCCUAGGGUUGUAAAGCACUUUCAAUUGGGAGGAAAACCUGCCGGUCAAUACCCGGCAGCUUGACAUUACCUUUAGAAGAAGCACCGGCUAACUCCGUGCCAGCCGCCGCAGUAACAC
rnacentral:rRNA from 1 species